rnacentral:rRNA from 1 species
GACGAACGCUGGCGGCGUGCUUAACACAUGCAAGUCGAACGCUGAAGCUCAGCUUUUGUUGGGUGGAUGAGUGGCGAACGGGUGAGUAACACGUGAGUAACCUGCCUCCUUCUUUGGGAUAACGCCCGGAAACGGGUGCUAAUACUGGAUAUUCACUGGUCUUCGCAUGGGGGUUGGUGGAAAGGGUUUUUCUGGUGGGGGAUGGGCUCGCGGCCUAUCAGCUUGUUGGUGGGGUGAUGGCCUACCAAGGCUUUGACGGGUAGCCGGCCUGAGAGGGUGACCGGUCACAUUGGGACUGAGAUACGGCCCAGACUCCUACGGGAGGCAGCAGUGGGGAAUAUUGCACAAUGGGCGCAAGCCUGAUGCAGCGACGCCGCGUGGGGGAUGGGUGCCUUCGGGUUGUGAACCUCUUUCGCUCAUGGUCAAGCCGCAACAAUGGUUGUGGUGAGGGUAGUGGGUAAAGAAGCGCCGGCUAACUACGU